rnacentral:rRNA from 1 species
GCGACCAUACCACAUUGGAAACACCGGUUCUCGUCCAAUCACCGAAGUUAACCAAUGUCGGACUCGUUUAAUACUUGCAUGGGCGACCGGCUGGGAAUACCGGUUAUUGCGGCCGUU